rnacentral:rRNA from 1 species
AUGUCGCCGGGGCAGAAGGGCCACCCACGACGCGCCAUCGCUCAAGGAGGCCGGCGUCGGGCUGUAACCGGCGACGGCACCAACGACGCGCUGGUGCUCAAGGAGGCCGGCGUCGGGCUGUCCAGGGCACCGAGACGAGCACUUGAUCCUCCGUGUCGCUGCACCACCCAGCAACUUCACGCCACGCGCUGGGGACACCGAGUCUACAACAACAUCCGGAAGUUGAUCCAGUUCCAGCUCACCGUCAACGUCGCAGCCCUCGUCAUCAACUUUGUGUCAGCGAUCACCACGGGCAAGAUGCCGCUCACCAUCAUGCAGCUCCUGCGGGUGAACCUGAUCAUGAACACCAUGGGCGCUCUGGCGCUGGCCACGGAUACGCCUACCAAGACGCUCAUGGACCGCCCGCCCAUUGGCCGCACGGCGCCGCUCACCAGCAACCUCGCCGUGCAGGCGGCGUUCCAGAUCGCCGUGCUGCUGGCGCUCCAGUACCGGGGCCGGGACCUCUUCGGCACUGAUGAGAAGGUCAACAGCACCAUGAUCUUCGGCGUGUUCGUGCUCUGGAUGAUGUUCCUGGUCAUCAUCGCCGUCGCCGAGACGCUCGUCCUGCAGGUGGUCAUGGUCGAGGUUGCCGGCACCAAGAGGCUGAGAUUGGGACAGUGGGGCGUCUGUGUUGGAAUAAGCCACGGCUUGAUGCGGUCGGCCUCAUUGGGUGCGCGCGGGACGUGCGGGACGCACUGA